CCGGCUGUAGUGGGACAGGCAUCUGCCACAUCACCGGUGCCUGACCGGGUGGUCGGGGGUUCGAAUCCCCCCGGCGGGACCA
rnacentral:tRNA from 1 species